GCGCCCUUGGGGGACAGAUUUGGCUUGCUAGAGCCAAGUUCGUCCCGUACGCCGCGGUCUACGGAACCGAAGGUCACAGGUUCGAAUCCUGUCGGGCGCG
rnacentral:tRNA from 1 species